UAUAUUUUAGUAUAAUGUACAUAGAAUUUUGAUUUCUAAGGUGAUAGAUUAUUUCUAUUAAAUAUAA
rnacentral:tRNA from 3 species